GCAAUUCUUUCGGUUCAGCAAGACCUGAGCAAAUGGAUCAAGAACCAAGAGAUAGUGGUAGCAGUAGUUCUCUUCCUCAUUUUAUGCAAGCAACAGAAUCUGCAAGAGCCAAGGUCAAUGCAAAUAAUUCACCUAGAUCAAGUCCAGAUGUGCAAGAGAGAGACAUUCACAUCAAGAAGAGACAUUCCUUACCUGGUGCAAAUGGAAGGCAGGGUUCACCGAGGAUUCAGCGAGCAACAUCUCAGGCACAGCAGGGUACGAAGGGAAAUGGUAGCAAUCCUAUUCAUGGUAUUUCCUCGACUGAUUUCUGUUUUCUACUAUUGUUACUUUUUCUUUACAUGCUCAUCUUAAAUUUUCUUCCAUUAAAAAAUCUUUUGUUUAGAAAGCUUGUAAUGAAAUUUGGAAGCAUACCUCAUAAUGCUCAGGGCGGUCCACCUUUCAAUUCAUAACAGUGAUUUAUCGGACUUUUGGAGUAUCUGGAGAUAAAUCCCUCUACCCUCUUCCUCCUACUGGAUGCUGUCCUUUUACGACCACGACCAUUAUUCCUAGUCAUCGAAUAAUCCUUCCUAUUAUUUGUUAAAAAAGCAUGUUUAUGUCUUGGUAUCCAGUUCAUAGUCUUGAAUUCAUCUUAUGAGAAUUGAAGCACUCCCUAGAAAAGUUUUCCCAUGUACAUGGCCUACUAAAACGGGUAGAAUCGGUUGAGCGCCGAGACAUUUUCUUUCACUACCUGGCUAAAAGCAUCUUUGAGCUGCGUCUGGACUCUAGAAUCCAAUUUUGGAACUCUCACAUUCCAAAAUGCUGCUAUUUUUAAUAUCUUGGGCCAUGACUGUUUU
rnacentral:lncRNA from 1 species